GACGAAGGAUGCAAGCGUUAUCCGGAUUCAUUGGGUUUAAAGGGAGCGUAGGCGGACUUAUAAGUCAGUGGUGAAAUCUCCGAGCUUAACUCGGAAACUGCCAUUGAUACUGUAGGUCUAGAGUACAGUUGCCGUUGGCGGAAUAUGACAUGUAGUGGUGAAAUACUUAGAUAUGUCAUAGAACACCGAUUGCGAAGGCAGCUAACGAAGCUGUAACUGACGCUGAGGCUUGAAAGUGCGGGGAUCAAACAGG
rnacentral:rRNA from 1 species